rnacentral:rRNA from 1 species
UACGGAGGGUGCGAGCGUUAUCCGGAAUCACUGGGUUUAAAGGGUGCGUAGGCCGUGGGGCAAGUCUGUCGUGAAAUGCAGCGGCUCAACCGUGUGAACUGCGAUGGAAACUGCUUCACUUGAAUCGUGGCGGGGCUGGCGGAAUGUGGCAUGUAGCGGUGAAAUGCAUAGAUAUGCCAUAGAACACCGAUCGCGAAGGCAGCUGGCCAGCCACCGAUUGACGCUGAGGCACGAAAGUGUGGGGAGCAAACAGG